rnacentral:misc_RNA from 1 species
CCAAAAGAGCGAGAAAUCGUUUUCUUACUGCCUGCUCGGUGGCCCCCUGGGCCGCUGACUGGUCAACCCUUUGUGAACCAAAAAACCUUUUUCGCUUCGGCAGCUGGGGCCUGACCGCCUGUCAGCCUGCCGCUAGCACCCAACCAAAAGACCUGUUGUCGAAACAUUGUCUGAUAACCAAAAUUUUCGAAUGAAAAUCA